GUUGCCAUGGCGAGCAGCGGAGUAAGGGGUGAAAUCGUUCAGAUCUAUCAAGAGUACAUUAAAGUAUGUCUACAUUGAGUAACUGACCAGUCACACAUAAGUCACACGUGCACUAUAAAACAACACUGAGCCAUGUUAAAGUCUGAUUGCAGUCUAAUGAGGAGGUUGAUUCAAGUGGUCGUAUUGCAAAAUGCUCUGUCUACUACUCAACAUAUACUGCACAGUACACAAAGCACACGUGCUUAUGUAGCUUCAUGACAAAUAUACUGUAGGCCGCAGCUGUAACAUCAGCUAUAAUGUGAGUAUUUUCACACUGGACACAGUAACUCAUUUUAGAUUAAAGAGCGCUUUGCUUAUUUUAAAUUUUAUUUCCAUAUGUCAGUUACUGUAAAGACAUAUCGUGUUCUAGUAGAGCUCUCUGUAUCGCUGCUGCCAGUUGAUCUGGUUCACUUCUACCUUCCGCUGACAUGUUCUCAUUAUUCUUGCAAUGUUCUGUUGAUUUUAGCGGUCCCUGUGGAUACAAGCGGUAGUGUUUCCCGAGCACUCAGCAAACCCCCUUUUUACUUCAGCGGUGUCUGACAGUUUUUCCGGCUCAGUCCUGGUUCUGGUUCUCCCAUGCCUCUCUACCCACCAGCGGUCCCAGCAAAGAUGGUCUGGGUCUCCGCAGCAUGGUGCCUGUCUUGACAGACAAUCAGUUGAACUUGAAGAUCUGAAGACUCAUGAAUUGUAUUUUGAUUCAUGGAGAAAGCAUUUUGAGUAUUUUUUAUACAAAAUGACUCCACUCCAAUAUAUAUUGUUACAAAUUACAUUUACAAGAUCCAACCCUAACUCAGUAAAUCCUAACUCUAAAUCACACGUAAACUGUAAAAAACAGCAAUUUAUUUCAGGAAUUCAGGAUACACAACUGAUGUGUCCUACGCAUCGAGAAGACCUUCCUUCAGCCGAACGGCGGGGAAGCUGUUAACAAGGACUGAUCUGAGGUCUGAAUGCAGGCACACAGUUUGCUUGCUAAAGCUCCGCUGCGCGGGGUCAACUCAACUGUACUCUCUGCUGCGAAAAUGUGAAACGUGAACUCGGUGGUAUUUCUUUUCCUGCAAACCUAGCUGUCAGUCAGAAUUUAAGGUUUGGGAUGCAGCUUAAAAUAUAAAGACACACAGCUCAUUGGGACCUGGGAGCCAUCACAAAUAAAUAAAGGCACUAUUUUCUGACUUUUAACGAAUUAAAAUAUUAUUGUGAAAUCGCCAGUCUGACUUUUUGUGAUUGCAUGGAAUAUCCAUAUCGCUGUGUCACGUUGGAUUAAUAGGCUUGUAGUGUCAGUCAGUAUCUGCAAGCACUUGGUAAAUACAUUACAUUUUUUCUGUAUCACAAUAAAAUCUUAAUGACAAUAGGCCAUUAGUAGUUCUGCAGACAGGAUAAUAUCUUUUUCCUCAAGUUUCACAGUGAGCCAUCUGUCAGAUGAGGUCAACUAUUUGUUAUUUGUGGACUGAAUGGGGGCUUCGCAAUGAGAAGGACAAGUGUAGAGGAAAGGUGGUAUGUCGAUUCCUGAGCCAGCUGCUGGAUGAGCCCGAGCUGCCUAACGGCACUGGUGCAGAUGAGAUGGAUGAGAUGGAGGCUGGAGUGCAGGAGGAGUUAAAAAGAAGAGGGGUGAGGGUUGAGCCGGGCAGCGCAGUCCGCUCUGAAAGUCCUGAGGGUUGAGGGCAUUGAUCUAGAGAUGUAUCCUUCAAAGUUCACGUACCUCCUAUCCGACUAAUAUUGACAUUGCCAGAUUUGUAUCUCCAUCUUUUGAUGUUGAUCACCUCUGACCCCCGUUUCGCUCCACUUCUUAUUGGAGGCAUAUGUGGCUUUAUAAUCAGAACUGGAAGUCCUUCCUCAUAGGAAACAAUGCGCCGUCUUGAGGCUAACUGAGUUAGCGUGAAGACACAUGACUUUGUUCAAGAUGACCAUGAAACGGGUUGAACCUUUACCUGCGUGCCUGUAGUGUAGCAACAUCAUGAGGGCCACCAGAGAAACAAGAUUGGUUUUACACGAGGUUCCCUAGCGGACUGGUUAAAUAAAACAUUACACUGUCAGCACGCGUCUAUGAAAGGAAAAUAAAAAGCCUACAUUGACUGUAUGCCAGAUAUAUACAACUGCCCUCGGAAGACAAUGGCAGAGAGGAAAAGAAACAUCAGUCACUCUUUAAUGCUAAUACAUGUUUUCCCCAGUGUUUCACUUUUAGAUUCAUGUUACUCUAAUGAGUUUGAACAGAUUUCACUUCCUGGUGUAAUGUAAGUAAACAGAGUUCCUGGGCUCUGUUUGUUCUUUGGCACUAGAGGCGCAGGCCUGACUUAUUGCACAAUUGAGGAUCUUCAACCAAAACAGGAAGAGGAAUUCAUCAUUUGUUUGUUACAAGGCAGGAUCGUAUUACAGAUGAACAAAUACACAGAAAGACCAGAUGGUGCGCGGUGGGAGAAAAGGAAUCAACUGCUCUGGAGUAUGAACAUAUUCCACCUGAUCACUGCAGGGAGGCGACCGACCGACUGACUGACGUGACCUGACUUUGGCUCCUGAUUUUCUUCAGUGGAAGGAAGGGACCUUCCUACUUAAAGACAGAUUUAUUGUACAUUCAGUCUUCAGUUUUCUCGUUAUCUGUGUACAUCUUCCUGCCAUGUGCGGUGAGACUGAACAUUAGCAUUAAAUGUGCUUUUAAGUAGUUUGUGUCUUUGUAUAUUUUGUAUGUACUGUUGCAUACUCCUAGUAUAUUUUUAUACAUACAGAACAUAUAUUUCAGUGUUCAUAGCUAUGCGCCUGUGACUGUGAUGUUAGUGUGCGUGUGUCCGAAUUGUGAGACUGACUGGCCAGUCAGGAAUGAUCAGCUGAAAACUGGCUUUCGUCACGCCUCUUAUAUACACCAUUUAUUAUUCUUUCAAGGUCAUUGUUACACUUUCACAGCUUAUCGCUCUCCAAAGGGCUAGAAUAAUCUUCCUGCCAGCACCUCUUAAGCACACUGAUUAUGAAAUGAUAUCUCAACUGUUUGGCAUGACAAAAAGUUUUCAUUAGAAGUUUCUGCAAAGCUUAGGUUUAGUCAACCAAACUACUUUUUGGUAGAUUUUGGUAACAAUGGUCCUUGGCUGGGUCUUGGCAACAAAGUACUUGGUUUAAGCAAACAACAACUAACUGCCUCCUUGCUCAGAGCCACAAGUUUGAACCGUCCAGCCCCAAGCAUUGAUGUCAUAUAAUGCCAGUAAAAAGUAUUUGCUGGUUUCUUUUUUUCAUAUUUAUUACACUUAAAUGUUUCAGAUUAUCGGAAAUGUUUUGAUGUGACGCGAGUAAAUAAAAAAUGUUUUUAAGAAAAAAUCCAUUAGAUUCAAUUUACAGGGUUCCCCGUGAACAAGCUGUAAACCCGAGGAACACUCA
ensembl:lncRNA